rnacentral:sRNA from 1 species
UAAGUAGAAUUUUCACGAUUUAGGUUUA